UUUUCUUAGUAUGUCCUAUGAUCCAAGUAUCUUUACUGUUGCGAUUUCCUAGCUUUUCAGAUCUAAUACUUCUUUUUUCUUACAGCAUAUAUUUAUGAUUCAACAGCUAGCCAUGACCUACUUGAUAGCUUUUCUUUUGUUUUGCUUCUUCUGUUCAAUUUCUUUUUGAUAAUAGGAAAGGGGACCAAGAGUUGAGAAAAGUAAUGGAGAAACAGCCAGAUGACAUACCGGGGGGAACCACCUCUCAAGCUUUAAACAUGAUGCCUCACCCAAAUGAAGAGGUCAGCAGUAAUCCCAAUCCAUCUAAGGAGCAGCUGGUUCAUGGAGUGCAGCAUCAUUUCAUCUCUCAG